rnacentral:rRNA from 1 species
UAAUGCAUCGGAACGUAUCCCGUAGUGCGGGACAACCCAGCGAAAGCUGGGCUAAUACCGCAUAUGCUCUGAGGAGGAAAGCAGGGGACCUGGAAGGGCCUUGUGCUAUGGGAGCGGCCGAUGUCCGAUUAGCUGGUUGGUGGGGUAAAGGCUUACCAAGGCGACGAUCGGUAGCUGGUCUGAGAGGAUGAUCAGCCACACUGGGACUGAGACACGGCCCAGACUCCUACGGGAGGCAGCAGUGGGGAAUUUUGGACAAUGGGGGCAACCCUGAUCCAGCCAUGCCGCGUGCGGGAAGAAGGCCUUCGGGUUGUAAACCGCUUUUGGCCGGGAAGAAAAGGCUCUGGCUAAUACCCGGGGCUAUUGACGGGUACCGGCAGAAUAAAGCCCCGGCUAACUAC